rnacentral:rRNA from 1 species
AUGCGCCGACGAUGGGGGGCAACAUGGAGUCCGCAACAUAUGCCAAUGUGUGCUCACUCAGGUUCUCCGGCAAGGACGAGGUCGAUGCCGCGGGGACGGAGUGGAGGAGGCGGCCGAGCUCUUCCUGGCGGGCGGGGCGGAAGGACUGGACAUGGCGGGGGCGGAGGUCGAUCUGGACGUGGAUAUCAUCCGAAGCCGCCGCCAUGCGCCGCCGUAGGAUGCGAAGAUGAUGCCCUCGGCCGAAUUCGUUGUAUGGCAUCUUCAGAAGCAGCUGUCAUGCGUCGCUGUAGGAUGCAAAGAUGA